rnacentral:rRNA from 1 species
UAGGGAAUCUUCCGCAAUGGACGCAAGUCUGACGGAGCAACGCCGCGUGAGUGAAGAAGGAUUUCGGUUCGUAAAACUCUGUUGUUAGAGAAGAACAGCGCAUAGAGUAACUGUUAUGCGUGUGACGGUAUCUAACCAGAAAGCCACGGCUAACUACGUGCCAGCAGCCGCGGUAAUACGUAGGUGGCAAGCGUUGUCCGGAUUUAUUGGGCGUAAAGCGAGCGCAGGCGGUCAAUUAAGUCUGAUGUGAAAGCCCCCGGCUCAACCGGGGAGGGUCAUUGGAAACCGGUUGACUUGAGUGCAGAAGAAGAGAGUGGAAUUCCAUGUGUAACGGUGAAAUGCGUAGAUAUAUGGAGGAACACCAGUGGCGAAGGCGACUCUCUGGUCUGUAACUGACGCUGAGGCUCGAAAGCGUGGGUAGCAAACAGG